CUGACACGAGGUAGAGACAGUUGACACCCUUAGACAGCAUUUAAAGAUUUUUUUAAAACCCCUAUGAGGAACCAAUGGUUCGUCUCUUCAUCAAUGGUCUCUUCUGCUCUCUUAGCGGAGUGCGGGCUCCUUGGACCACACCUAAGGUGAUCCCUGUGCACGGUUGACACUGGUCCUCAGGAGUUGACAGCAGACAGCAAUAAGGGUCCCAUCUGAGUUGCCAAGAAAGUUGUGGAAAUUCUAACCAAUAAGGAGAGACUUUGUUUGAAGAAAUGACAGUCAACGUUUAUUUGAUAAGAAUUGCAAUAAUGUAGCUUUUGACCCCACACUGAGGUGGGAGGUCGAGAGUUUGAAUGACACAAGGAGUUCAGGAGCCUUAUAAAGUCAGACUGUCUAAUGGUAUGUGUACGUGUGUGGAGACCAGAACGAAACUGGGGUAAAAGUUACAGACUAACUGUGAAUUUGGUCCUCUCGUUCUGUCGCAACUGCUGGUUAUUCUAAUCUUCUAGUGAGGACAAAGGACAAUAGUUGUCAAAGCAACAGGAAAUCACUCUCGACAUAGUUCCAAAGUAGCCAGCAAGCUGUCUGCCCAGAUGAAAGAUGGUUUCACAACCACACACAAGCAUGAACACUUAGCUCUGUUUUCAGUAAAUUAAGAAAAAACUGUUAUUUCCCUUCUAACUAAACGGGAAACCUGACCAAGUUGUGCCGGUCAGCUCUUGGCUGUGCGCCCAGAACAACAACGGGGACUUACUUCCUUAGUUACUAUAGGAACCUACAGUGUGGACAAAAAGUAUUUGAUACCCUGCUGAUUUUGUACGUUUGCCCACUUACAAAGAAAUGAUCAGUCAAAAUUUUAAUGGUAGGUUUAUUUGAACAGUGAGAGACAGAAUAACAACAACAAUAAUCCAGAAAAACACAUGUCAAAAAUGUUAUAACAUGAUUUGCAUUUUAAUGAGGGAAAUAAGUAUUUGACCCCUCUGCAAAACAUGACUUAGUACUUGGUGGCAAAACCCUUGUUGGCAAUCACAGAGGUCAGACGUUUCUUGUAGUUGAACACCAGGUUUGCACACAUGUCAGGAGGGAUUUUGUCCCACUCCUCUUUGCAGAUCUUCUCCAAGUCAUUAACCUCUAUGGGCUAGGUGGGAUGCUUGCGUCCCACCUACUCAACAGCCAGUGUAAUCCCGUGGCGCGAUUUUCAAAUACCUCAAAAGACUCUCGUUAAUCUAACCACACUGUCCGAUUUCAAAAAGGCUUUACAACGAAAGCAAAACAUUAGAUUAUGUCAGCAGAGUACCCAGACAGAAAUAAUCAGACACCCAUUUUUCAAGCUAGCAUAUAAUGUUACAUAAACCCAAACCACAGCUAAAUGCAGCACUAACCUUUGAUGAUCUUCAUCAGAUGACAACCCUAGGACAUUAUGUUAUACAAUACAUGCAUGUUUUGUUCAAUCAAGUUCAUAUUUAUAUCAAAAACCAGCUUUUUACAUUAGCAUAUGACUAGCAUGUGACUAGCAUUCCCACCGAACACUGCCGGUGAAUUUACUAAAUUACUCACGAUAAACGUUCACAAAAAACAUAACAAUUAUUUUAAGAAUUAUAGAUACAGAACUCCUCUAUGCACUCGCUAUGUCCGCUUUCGGUGAAAGCACAUUUUGCAAUAUUCUCAGUAGAUAGCCCGGCAUCACAGGGCUAGCUAUUUAGACACCCAGCAAGUUUAGCACUCACCAAAGUCAGAUUUACUAUAAGAAAAAUGUUAUUACCUUUGCUGUUCUUCGUCAGAAUGCACUCCCAGGACUUCUACUUCAAUAACAAAUGUUGGUUUGGUCCCAAAUAAUCCAUGGAUAUAACACCAAACAGCGGCAUUUUGUUCGUGCGUUCAAGACACUAUCCGAAAGGGUAAGUAAGGGUGACGAGCGUGGCGCAUUAUGUGACAAAAAAUGUCUAAAUAUUCCAUUACCGUACUUCGAAGCAUGUCAACCGCUGUUUAAAAUAAAUUUUUAUGCCAUUUUUCUCGUAAAAAAGCGAUAAUAUUCCGACCGGGAAAUUGUUUUUUAUUACAAAGAGAGUGAAAGUAAAAGCAUGCUAUCCCCUCAUGCACGAGCCUCAGUCUAAUGGCCCUCUGAUAGAGCACUUGCCAAACACGCUAAUGUGUUUCAGCCUGGGGAUGGAAUUACAUCGUUCAGCUUUUUCCCGCCUUCUGAGAGCCCAUGGGAGCCGUAGGAAGUGUCACGUCAUGCCAGAGAUCCCCUGUAUUUGUUAGAGAUGAUCAAGGAAUGCAAGAAAUGGUCAAACAGGCCACUUCCUGUAAGGAAUCUUCUCAGGUUUUGGCCUGCCAAAUGAGUUAUGUUAUACUCACAGACACCAUUCAAACAGUUUUAGAAACUUUAGGGUGUUUUCUAUCCAAAGCCAAUAAUUAUAUGCAUAUUCUAGUUACUGGGCAGGAGUAGUAACCAGAUUAAAUCGGGUACGUUUUUUAUCCGGCCGUGCAAAUACUGCCCCCUAGCCCCAACAGGUUAAGGUUUCGAGGCUGACGUUUGGCAACUCGAACCUUCAGCUCCCUCCACAGAUUUUCUAUGGGAUUAAGGUCUGGAGACUGGCUAGGCCACUCCAGGACCUUAAUGUGCUUCUUCUUGAGCCACUCCUUUGUUGCAUUGGCCGUGUGUUUUGGGUCAUUGUCAUGCUGGAAUACCCAUCCACGACCCAUUUUCAAUGCCCUGGCUGAAGGAAGGAGGUUCUCACCCAAGAUUUGACGGUAUAUGGCCCCGUCCAUCGUCCCUUUGAUGCGGUGAAGUUGUCCUGUCCCCUUAGCAGAAAAACACCCCUAAAGCAUAAUGUUUCCACCUCCAUGUUUGAUGGUGGAGAUGGUGUUCUUGGGGUCAUAGGCAGCAUUCCUCCUCCUCCAAAUACGGCGAGUUGAGUUGAUGCCAAAGCGCUCCAUUUUCGUCUCAUCUGACCACAACACUUUCACCAGUUGUCCUCUGAGUCAUUCAGAUGUUCAUUGGCAAACUUCAGAUGGGCAUGUAUAUGUAUUCUUGAGCAGGGGGACCUUGCGGGCUGUGCAGGAUUUCAGUCCUUCACGGCGUAGUGUGGUACCAAUUGUUUUCUUGGUGACUAUGGUCCCAGCUGCCUUGAGAUCAUUGACAAGAUCCUCCCGUGUACUUCUUGGCUGAUUCUUCACCGUUCUCAUGAUCAUUGCAACUCCACGAGGUGAGAUCUUGCAUGGAGCCCCAGGCCGAGGGAUAUUGACAGUUCUUUUGUGUUUCUUCCAUUUGCGAAUAAUCACACCAAAAGUUGUCACCUCCUCACCAAGCUGCUUGGCGAUGGUCUUGUAGCCCAUUCCAGCCUUGUGUAGGUCUACAAUCUUGUCCCUGACAUCCGUGGAGAGUUCUUUGGUCUUGGCCAUGGUGGAGAGUUUGGAAUCUGAUUGAUUGAUUGCUUCUGUGGACAGGUGUCUUUUUUUACAGGUAACAAGCUGCGGUUAGGAGCACUCCCUUUAAGAGUUUAUUUGAACAGUGAGAGACAGAAUAACAACAAAAAAUAUCCAGAAAAAUGCAUAUUCUCGUUUCUGGGCAAGAGUAGUAACCAGUUUAAAUCGGGUACGUUUUUUAUCUGGCCGUGAAAAUACUGCCCCCUAGCCCCAACAGGUUAAGAGUGUGCUCCUAAUCUCAGCUCGUUACCUGUAUAAAAGACACCUGGGAGCCAGAAAUCUUUCUGAUUGAGAGGGGGUCAAAUACUUAUCAUUUUAUAACAUUUCUGACAUGCGUUUUUCUGGAUAUUUUUGUUGUUAUUCUGUCUCUCACUGUUCAAAUAAACCUACCAUUAAAAUUAUAGACUGAUCCUUCUUUAUCAGUGGGCAAACGUACAAAAUCAGCAGGGGAUCAAAUACUUUUUCCCCCCACUGUACACCCACACACACACAAAAUUAUUCAUUUAACAAUCUCAAUCUUAAUGCCUACACAACUAAGCUUAAGGACUGGCCACCCCUCAUAGCCUGG
rnacentral:lncRNA from 1 species